ACCAGCCAUAGUUGACCCAAACUG
rnacentral:siRNA from 1 species